AUAUGCAAGCUCCUGGAAUGCCUGUGGUUUCUCCAGCACCUGGGUCCUGCUGGCAACCAGCAGCACCCAGUGGCCAGCAGCGUACUCUUUCACCUCUUCUUGGGUGACUUUGUGGAAUGCUCCAAUGUGACAUCUCCCUGUGAACGCCUUUCCUGACACCCUAAAAAGUGUCAGGAAUUUCCAGCAAGUUCCAGAGAGCAGGUUUCCAGCAAGUUUGGUCAGUAUGACACCACAGCGAUAUCUCUGCCAUUCACUGAACUUGGAUUCUUCCUUCUUCAGUGAGAGAUGUUCAAGAAAAAGAACAACUUCAGUGGAAGAAGAAGAAGAUAGGAGCCCAGGUCCUGUGUUUCACCAAGACAGCCGUGCAAAGCAGAUGCUGCCAAAAAGGUGCAAAGUGGUUUGUCAGCUCUUCUGCAUGUUCUAACAAAUUAGACAUGCAUCCCAAAAGGUUUCCUAGACUUUCCAUCACCACCAGUGAAUUCUGAGUGACAAUAGUGUGGAAUUUGGAAGAAUGGAAGAGAAACUGAAGUGGAGAGAUGGUGAAAGAGAAGAAAAAAUGAAGAAAGAUGCUUGCAAAAAUACUGCUGUGGGUCCUGAGAUGAGGAUUCUGGGAGGGCUGAAAUGGAUGCCCCUGACAGCUCCCUUUGAGUUCCUGUUCAUCUGAAGUACACCAGCUUUCUAGAUAUGCUGUCACUUUCCUUCUGCAGAGCCACAGUGGUGUCCUGUCUUCUCAGACCUCUUCUCACCUCAAAUCACUUAGGACUCGGCCACCAGACAGAUUUGGGAUUUCAGAACUUUUCAGAUGUUAGAAAGUUCUUUUCUAAAUGUGAUGAGGAAUUACGGAAUCAUAAAAUGGAAGCAGAGUUAAACUCAGACAUGUGGGCACUCAAGGCAAUUAGGAGCUUUCUGCGAUGAGAAAGGGAUCAGACUGAUCCUUAAGACUUUAUGCAACCCCAGAGUAUUGCAGCCACCUGCAUGCCGAAGGUGUCAAGAGUGUUCUCACUGCUGCCUAUAGGAGGGUCUUCAGCCUCCAGUGAUCCAAAGUACCAGGCUGACCUGUGACUGCUUCGGCCAACUGAAUAGGGAAGAGUGAUGCUGUGCUGUUUCCAGGCCUGUUCUUUAAAAGUACUUGGAAGCUUCUGCCUUGGCCUCUUUGUGCCUGAGUUGCUGUAUAAGAAUCUGACUACCUUGCUGGAGAGACCUUGUGGAGAAGACUUGACCUUAUAUGCAGAGGUAGAGGGGCCCUGGUUAGUCCAGCCAUCUAGCCAUCCUGUCAAAAUAGCAGGAGUAUGAUGGCCAAUGGAUCCAAAACCUAUCCUAUAUCUACAUGUUGGUGGCCACAUUAAUCUGACAUCUGACAGCAAGAGCGAUGAUUGGGUUCACUGGAAAUCUUUGUGAAGUACGAGUGAAGUCCUUGUGAAGUCAGAGUUUCCUCUUCAUGCCUCUACUCCUAUGCAGUUUGACCUCUCAGUGUGCAGCUGGUGAUAGAUGGAAACCCUUGUUCAUAAGCUUUGUGGCACUGUCGGCAGGAUGAGGGGACUUCUGGAUCCUCACUGGUCACUGUGGCAGAGUGGUUGGUGUUGUCUGCUCCCUAGACAGGAACCCACUGAAGAAUCUGACAUUUUUUGAUAUGCUGGCAUUCAUUGUUACAGCCCAUCAUCCCAGCCAUCAAUCCAGGACAUGGGGUCUGUGCCCACGGUGGGAAGGAGGAGGGGGAAGCUGGCUUUGUUCUGACGUUGGGCUUCUUCUGCUCCACCAGUACUUUCUGUGGGGGAAAUAGGUAAAGAAAUGGCUGUUCAGAUGAGAAGAUGUGUCAGUAAACUUUUGCUACAGUGAUGCUGCAAAACAAAUCACUGGUGACUUUCAGUGGCACACAGCAAUAAACAUUUAUUUAGCUCAGGGAUUGACAAUCUUUUUUUUUUUUUAAAGGGCCAAAUAGUAAAUAUUUUAGGUGUUUCAGGCCAUACAGUCUCUGAACUCUGAACUUGUAGCACAACAGUAGCCUUAGAUGCUAUGCAAAUGGAGGAGCAUGACUGUGUUCCAAUAAAACUUUAUUUAUGGACACUAAAA
rnacentral:lncRNA from 1 species